UUGUUGGUAAGGUAAAAGCUUACCAAGGCUUCGAUCAGUAGCUGGUCUGAGAGGACGACCAGCCACACUGGGACUGAGACACGGCCCAGACUCCUACGGGAGGCAGCAGUGGGGAAUUUUGGACAAUGGGGGCAACCCUGAUCCAGCCAUGCCGCGUGAGUGAAGAAGGCCUUCGGGUUGUAAAGCUCUUUCAGCCGGAACGAAACGGUUACGGAUAACACCCGUGACUACUGACGGUACCGGAAGAAGAAGCACCGGCUAACUACGUGCCAGCAGCCGCGGUAAUACGUAGGGUGCGAGCGUUAAUCGGAAUUACUGGGCGUAAAGCGUGCGCAGGUGGUUUUGUAAGUCAGAUGUGAAAGCCCCGGGCUCAACCUGGGAACUGCGUUUGAAACUACAAGACUAGGGUGUGGCAGAGGGGGGUGGAAUUCCGCGUGUAGCAGUGAAAUGCGUAGAGAUGUGGAGGAACACCGAUGGCGAAGGCAGCCCCCUGGGUCAACACUGACGCUCAGGCACGAAAGCAUGGGGAGCAAACAGGAUUAGAUACCCUGGUAGUCCAUGCCCUAAACGAUGUCAACUAGUUGUCGGGCCUUUACGGGCUUGGUAACGUAGCUAACGCGUGAAGUUGACCGCCUGGGGAGUACGAUCGCAAGAUUAAAACUCAAAUGAAUUGACGGGGACCCGCACAAGCGGUGGAUUAUGUGGAUUAAUUCGAUGCAACGCGAAAAACCUUACCUACCCUUGACAUGUAUCGAAGCCCGCAGAAAAGCGGGGGUGCCCGAAAGGGAACGAUAACACAGGUGCUGCAUGGCUGUCGUCAGCUCGUGUCGUGAGAUGUUGGGUUAAGUCCCGCAACGAGCGCAACCCUUGUCAUUAAUUGCCAUCAUUUAGUUGGGCACUUUAAUGAGACUGCCGG
rnacentral:rRNA from 1 species